rnacentral:lncRNA from 1 species
CACUGUUUGCUAUGAAUUCAUUUACACUUUUUUAAAGAAUAACAACGCUGAGCUGAGUUGUUUCCCAUGGGUACCUUCAGUUCCUGAGCAUGGCCCCCACCCUCUGUGACUCUGGAUCAAGUCUCGACCUGUGGGCUUGGCUUGCUGGGAGCUCUCCAAGGGGCUGCCGCCAGCUCUCUGGAGACAGAGCAAUUACCUGGAAAAGUCUAGAGUGGACUGGAGGUGGGGAGCUGCCUCCUGGCAGGAGGGACUUGGGGCUAGAAAGCAGCAUGGCGGCGGUGAGCCUGGAACGCACCUUGUGGGCCCAUCUGCUGUGGGCCGAGACUUCAUUUCGUUCAGGGGUCCCUUCUUCCUCCCAUGUGACAGCGUGAAUACCAGCUGUUCUGACCAGUCCUGCUCACCUCGUCCCCCCUUGCCCUGGGUUGGAUUAAUAGCAGCAGAUAACCCAGAUGUGGCCAAGGACACCUGAUGAGAUAUCUAUUGGGAGCUUCUGGGAAUGGUUUUCUUAAAACGAGACACAGAAGAGAAUCCACUUCCCUUAUUGGACACAGCUGCGUGUGAUGGCCGGCACCCCAGCCCCCACACUGAGGAAGCUGAACGGACACACUGAAAAUGGCCCAGCUCAAAGAGUGAAGCAGGAUAUGCCUCAAUCAACCCAUCCAUCCCCUGAAGCUG